rnacentral:rRNA from 1 species
UAAGAAGGGGGCUAGCGUUGCUCGGAAUCACUGGGCGUAAAGCGCACGUAGGCGGAUUGUUAAGUCAGGGGUGAAAUCCUGGAGCUCAACUCCAGAACUGCCUUUGAUACUGGCGAUCUCGAGUCCGGGAGAGGUGAGUGGAACUGCGAGUGUAGAGGUGAAAUUCGUAGAUAUUCGCAAGAACACCAGUGGCGAAGGCGGCUCACUGGCCCGGUACUGACGCUGAGGUGCGAAAGCGUGGGGAGCAAACAGG